rnacentral:rRNA from 1 species
GGGUUGUGAGGUUAAGCGACUAAGCGUACACGGUGGAUGCCCUGGCAGUCAGAGGCGAUGAAGGACGUGCUAAUCUGCGAUAAGCGUCGGUAAGGUGAUAUGAACCGUUAUAACCGGCGAUUUCCGAAUGGGGAAACCCAGUGUGAUUCGUCACACUAUCAUUAACUGAAUCCAUAGGUUAAUGAGGCGAACCGGGGGAACUGAAACAUCUAAGUACCCCGAGGAAAAGAAAUCAACCGAGAUUCCCCCAGUAGCGGCGAGCGAACGGGGAGGAGCCCAGAGCCUGAAUCAGUGUGUGUGUUAGUGGAAGCGUCUGGAAAGGCGCGCGAUACAGGGUGACAGCCCCGUACACAAAAAUGCACAUGCUGUGAGCUCGAUGAGUAGGGCGGGACACGUGGUAUCCUGUCUGAAUAUGGGGGGACCAUCCUCCAAGGCUAAAUACUCCUGACUGACCGAUAGUGAACCAGUACCGUGAGGGAAAGGCGAAAAGAACCCCGGCGAGGGGAGUGAAAAAGAACCUGAAACCGUGUACGUACAAGCAGUGGGAGCACAGAGCAAUCUGUGUGACUGCGUACCUUUUGUAUAAUGGGUCAGCGACUUAUAUUCUGUAGCAAGGUUAACCGAAUAGGGGAGCCGAAGGGAAACCGAGUCUUAACCGGGCGUUAAGUUGCAGGGUAUAGACCCGAAACCCGGUGAUCUAGCCAUUGGCAGGUUGAAGGUUGGGUAACACUAACUGGAGGACCGAACCGACUAAUGUUGAAAAAUUAGCGGAUGACUUGUGGCUGGGGGUGAAAGGCCAAUCAAACCGGGAGAUAGCUGGUUCUCCCCGAAAGCUAUUUAGGUAGCGCCUCGUGAAUUCAUCUCCGGGGGUAGAGCACUGUUUCGGCAAGGGGGUCAUCCCGACUUACCAACCCGAUGCAAACUGCGAAUACCGGAGAAUGUUAUCACGGGAGACACACGGCGGGUGCUAACGUCCGUCGUGAAGAGGGAAACAACCCAGACCGCCAGCUAAGGUCCCAAAGUCAUGGUUAAGUGGGAAACGAUGUGGGAAGGCCCAGACAGCCAGGAUGUUGGCUUAGAAGCAGCCAUCAUUUAAAGAAAGCGUAAUAGCUCACUGGUCGAGUCGGCCUGCGCGGAAGAUGUAACGGGGCUAAACCAUGCACCGAAGCUGCGGCAGCGACACUGUGUGUUGUUGGGUAGGGGAGCGUUCUGUAAGCCUGUGAAGGUGUGCUGUGAGGCAUGCUGGAGGUAUCAGAAGUGCGAAUGCUGACAUAAGUAACGAUAAAGCGGGUGAAAAGCCCGCUCGCCGGAAGACCAAGGGUUCCUGUCCAACGUUAAUCGGGGCAGGGUGAGUCGACCCCUAAGGCGAGGCCGAAAGGCGUAGUCGAUGGGAAACAGGUUAAUAUUCCUGUACUUGGUGUUACUGCGAAGGGGGGACGGAGAAGGCUAUGUUGGCCGGGCGACGGUUGUCCCGGUUUAAGCGUGUAGGCUGGUUUUCCAGGCAAAUCCGGAAAAUCAAGGCUGAGGCGUGAUGACGAGGCACUACGGUGCUGAAGCAACAAAUGCCCUGCUUCCAGGAAAAGCCUCUAAGCAUCAGGUAACAUCAAAUCGUACCCCAAACCGACACAGGUGGUCAGGUAGAGAAUACCAAGGCGCUUGAGAGAACUCGGGUGAAGGAACUAGGCAAAAUGGUGCCGUAACUUCGGGAGAAGGCACGCUGAUAUGUAGGUGAAGUCCCUCGCGGAUGGAGCUGAAAUCAGUCGAAGAUACCAGCUGGCUGCAACUGUUUAUUAAAAACACAGCACUGUGCAAACACGAAAGUGGACGUAUACGGUGUGACGCCUGCCCGGUGCCGGAAGGUUAAUUGAUGGGGUCAGCGCAAGCGAAGCUCUUGAUCGAAGCCCCGGUAAACGGCGGCCGUAACUAUAACGGUCCUAAGGUAGCGAAAUUCCUUGUCGGGUAAGUUCCGACCUGCACGAAUGGCGUAAUGAUGGCCAGGCUGUCUCCACCCGAGACUCAGUGAAAUUGAACUCGCUGUGAAGAUGCAGUGUACCCGCGGCAAGACGGAAAGACCCCGUGAACCUUUACUAUAGCUUGACACUGAACAUUGAGCCUUGAUGUGUAGGAUAGGUGGGAGGCUUUGAAGUGUGGACGCCAGUCUGCAUGGAGCCGACCUUGAAAUACCACCCUUUAAUGUUUGAUGUUCUAACGUGGACCCGUGAUCCGGGUUGCGGACAGUGUCUGGUGGGUAGUUUGACUGGGGCGGUCUCCUCCUAAAGAGUAACGGAGGAGCACGAAGGUUGGCUAAUCCUGGUCGGACAUCAGGAGGUUAGUGCAAUGGCAUAAGCCAGCUUGACUGCGAGCGUGACGGCGCGAGCAGGUGCGAAAGCAGGUCAUAGUGAUCCGGUGGUUCUGAAUGGAAGGGCCAUCGCUCAACGGAUAAAAGGUACUCCGGGGAUAACAGGCUGAUACCGCCCAAGAGUUCAUAUCGACGGCGGUGUUUGGCACCUCGAUGUCGGCUCAUCACAUCCUGGGGCUGAAGUAGGUCCCAAGGGUAUGGCUGUUCGCCAUUUAAAGUGGUACGCGAGCUGGGUUUAGAACGUCGUGAGACAGUUCGGUCCCUAUCUGCCGUGGGCGCUGGAGAACUGAGGGGGGCUGCUCCUAGUACGAGAGGACCGGAGUGGACGCAUCACUGGUGUUCGGGUUGUCAUGCCAAUGGCACUGCCCGGUAGCUAAAUGCGGAAGAGAUAAGUGCUGAAAGCAUCUAAGCACGAAACUUGCCCCGAGAUGAGUUCUCCCUGACCCUUUAAGGGUCCUGAAGGAACGUUGAAGACGACGACGUUGAUAGGCCGGGUGUGUAAGCGCAGCGAUGCGUUGAGCUAACCGGUACUAAUGAACCGUGAGGCUUAACCUUACAACGCCGAAGGUGUUU